GGCCUCGUAGAUUAGUUGGCUAGAGCGUUGCCUUCCUCUUGAUGGUGUGGGUGCGAAUCCCACCAAGGCCA
rnacentral:tRNA from 1 species